rnacentral:misc_RNA from 1 species
CGCGUGACCACGCCCACCACCGGAAGUGAUUUGACAAGAUGGCUGUAAGGCAAAAAAUUACAAGUUUUGACCCAAGAUUUAGUACAGAAUUGGGAAAAAAUUUUUUGGGUGCAGUUACCCUUUAAAGGAUUUCAAGAAGUUGGCUCUAGCACUUCUUCUACAUUAUCAUUUACUCCUGCUGCUACUGCUACUGUAGCAUCAUCAUCAUCAAAUGGAGCUAUCUCAUGGAUUGGUGGAAUAUUUAUUGGUAUCAUCAUCAGUGCAGUGU